AUGAACGCUAGCGGCAGGCUUAACACAUGCAAGCCGAGGGGUAUCACGCUUUCGGGCGUGAGAGACCGGCGCACGGGUGCGUAACGCGUAUGCAAUCUACCUUUGCAGAGGGAUAGCCCAGAGAAAUUUGGAUUAAUACCUCAUAGUAUAGAACAAUCGCAUGAUUGAGCUAUUAAAGUCACAACGGCAAAAGAUGAGCAUGCGUCCCAUUAGUUAGUUGGUAAGGUAACGGCUUACCAAGACUACGAUGGGUAGGGGUCCUGAGAGGGAGAUCCCCCACACUGGUACUGAGACACGGACCAGACUCCUACGGGAGGCAGCAGUGAGGAAUAUUGGACAAUGGGCGCAAGCCUGAUCCAGCCAUGCCGCGUGCAGGAUGACGGUCCUAUGGAUUGUAAACUGCUUUUGUACAGGAAGAAACACCUCUACGUGUAGAGACUUGACGGUACUGUAAGAAUAAGGAUCGGCUAACUCCGUG
rnacentral:rRNA from 1 species